UACGUAGGGUCCGAGCGUUGUCCGGAAUUACUGGGCGUAAAGAGCUCGUAGGUGGUUUGUCGCGUCUGCUGUGAAAUCCCGAGGCUCAACCUCGGGUCUGCAGUGGGUACGGGCAGACUGGAGUGCGGUAGGGGAGAAUGGAAUUCCUGGUGUAGCGGUGGAAUGCGCAGAUAUCAGGAGGAACACCGAUGGCGAAGGCAGUUCUCUGGGCCGUAACUGACGCUGAGGAGCGAAAGCGUGGGGAGCGAACAGG
rnacentral:rRNA from 1 species